rnacentral:rRNA from 1 species
UGCAAGUCGAACGAGAAAGUGGAGCAAUCCAUGAGUAAAGUGGCGUACGGGUGAGUAACACGUGACUAACCUACCCUUGAGUGGGGAAUAACCUCGGGAAACCGGGGCUAAUACCGCAUAACACCUUCGGGUCAAAGGAGCAAUUCGCUUAAGGAGGGGGUCGCGGCUGAUUAGCUAGUUGGUGGGGUAAUGGCCUACCAAGGCAAUGAUCAGUAUCCGGCCUGAGAGGGCGCACGGACACACUGGAACUGAAACACGGUCCAGACUCCUACGGGAGGCAGCAGUGGGGAAUUUUGCACAAUGGGGGAAACCCUGAUGCAGCAACGCCGCGUGGAGGAUGAAGUCCCUUGGGAUGUAAACUCCUUUCGACCGGGACGAUAAUGACGGUACCGGUGGAAGAAGCCCCGGCUAACUCUGUGCCAGCAGCCGCGGUAAUACAGAGGGGGCAAGCGUUGUUCGGAAUUAUUGGGCGUAAAGGGUGCGUAGGCGGUGCGGUAAGUCUUCUGUGAAAUCUCCGGGCUCAACUCGGAGCCUGCAGGAGAAACUGCCGUGCUUGAGUAUGGGAGAGGUGAAGUGGAAUUCCUGGUGUAGCGGUGAAAUGCGUAGAUAUCAGGAGGAACACCUGUGGCGAAAGCGGCUCACUGGACCAUAACUGACGCUGAGGCACGAAAGCUAGGGGAGCAGACAGGAUUAGAUACCCUGGUAGUCCUAGCCCUAAACGAUGAUUGCUUGGUGUAGCAGGUACCCAAUCCUGCUGUGCCGCAGCUAACGCGUUAAGCAAUCCGCCUGGGGAGUACGGUCGCAAGGCUGAAACUCAAAGGAAUUG